rnacentral:rRNA from 1 species
UACGGAGGGAGCUAGCGUUGUUCGGAUAUACUGGGCGUAAAGCGCACGUAGGCGGCGCAGCAAGUCAGGGGUGAAAUCCCGGAGCUCAACUCCGGAACUGCCCUUGAAACUGCAGUGCUAGAAUCCUGGAGAGGCGAGUGGAAUUCCGAGUGUAGAGGUGAAAUUCGUAGAUAUUCGGAAGAACACCAGUGGCGAAGGCGACUCGCUGGACAGGUAUUGACGCUGAGGUGCGAAAGCGUGGGGAGCGAACAGG